GACGAACGCUGGCGGCGUGCCUAACACAUGCAAGUUGAGCGACGAACCAGGGCUUGCCCUGGGGCAAAGCAGCGAACGGGUGAGUAACACGUGGGUACCCUACCCCGAUAACCGGGACAACCCGAGGAAACUCGGGCUAAUACCGGAUGUGCUCACUGAACUUCGGUUCAGUGCGUAAAGGAAGCUUCGGCCUCCGUAUCGGGAGGGGCCCGCGGCCCAUUAGCUAGUUGGUGAGGUAACGGCUCACCAAGGCCGCGAUGGGUAGCUGGUCUGAGAGGACGAUCAGCCACACUGGGACUGAGACACGGCCCAGACUCCUACGGGAGGCAGCAGUGGGGAAUCUUGCGCAAUGCGCGAAAGCGUGACACAGCAACGCCGCGUGGGGGAAGAAGGCCUUCGGGUUGUAAACCCCUUUCAGGAGGGACGAAGGUUCGGCGGUGAAUAGCCGUCCGGACUGACGGUACCUCCACAAGAAGCCCCGGCUAACUACGUGCCAGCAGCCGCCGCAG
rnacentral:rRNA from 1 species